UACGUAGGGGGCAAGCGUUGUCCGGAUUCAUUGGGCGUAAAGAGCGUGUAGGCGGCCAGGUAGGUCGGUUGUGAAAACUGGAGGCUCAACCUUCAGAGGUCGACCGAAACCAUCUGGCUAGAGUCCGGGAGAGGAGAGUGGAAUUCCUGGUGUAGCGGUGAAAUGCGCAGAUAUCAGGAGGAAUACCUGUGGCGAAGGCGACCAUCUGGAAGACAACUGACGCUGAGACUCGAAAGCGUGGGGAGCGAACCGG
rnacentral:rRNA from 1 species